UACGUAGGGUGCAAGCGUUGUCCGGAAUUAUUGGGCGUAAAGAGCUCGUAGGCGGUCUGUCGCGUCGGCUGUGAAAACUCAGGGCUCAACCCUGAGCCUGCAGUCGAUACGGGCAGGCUAGAGUCCGGCAGGGGAGACUGGAAUUCCUGGUGUAGCGGUGAAAUGCGCAGAUAUCAGGAGGAACACCGGUGGCGAAGGCGGGUCUCGUGGGCCGGAACUGACGCUGAGGAGCGAAAGCGUGGGGAGCGAACAGG
rnacentral:rRNA from 1 species